GGAGAUUAUCCACACUCAUUUUUCCCCGGCCUUAAUUUGAGACCGGCCUUUAUUUGUUCGUGUUGACCACGCCCCGGCCACUAUCAGAGGCCCGGCUUUUAAUUGACUCCCGGUUUUUAUUUGAGGAAAUACGGUAUAUGAGGAUGAUG